rnacentral:rRNA from 1 species
UACGUAGGUGGCGAGCGUUGUCCGGAUUUACUGGGCGUAAAGAGCGCGCAGGCGGUCGUUCAAGUCGCGUGUGAAAGCCCCCGGCUCAACUGGGGAGGGUCACGCGAUACUGAUCGACUCGAAGGCAGGAGAGGGUAGUGGAAUUCCCGGUGUAGUGGUGAAAUGCGUAGAUAUCGGGAGGAACACCAGUGGCGAAGGCGGCAUCCUGGACCGGCAUUGACGCUGAGGAGCGAAAGCCAGGGGAGCAAACGGG